rnacentral:lncRNA from 1 species
UUUAUUAUGGUAAAAAUACCCUGUUAAUAUAAAAAAGAAGAUGUGGUAUGAUUGCCAAUGAGACAACUAUCCACAAAAGACCAAAAUAACACAGACAUUUACAACUGCAUGUUACCGUACGGCCUUCAAGAAUGAUUUGUGUUUUGUUUCUUGUUUUUCUUCGUUGUAUAGAACGAAUUAGUUCAUCCCAUUACAGCCAAGUUUUAUAGUUCAAAUGUUGUAAACCACUGAAGUAUAAUGCAUUCAUUUUUAUAUAAAUCAUAAAAAAAAAUCAUAAAAUCAGUUAUUCAUUUAUAAUAACCUUACGGUUCAUCCUGUCUGUCCACUUUCAUCACAAUAACACAUUUUGCCGCUUCGACAUCUGAGCCAACUACACAACAAGUUGCACAAUCCCAAGCAUCGAUAUCAUGUAUUGAUGAAGGGCUUUCGAAAUAUUUAACAGUUGCUAUAAUAUAACCAAAAAAAUCGAGUGAAUGUUUGUUAGAGUUUGAUUCAUUCUGUUUAUUGGUUUUUUUUAUCAUUAUUUUAACAUGUUUAAUCGAUAGAAUCUGAAUUCGUUAAGUGUUAACCGUUGGAGGUAACAAACUAAUAUCGUUUUGUAAAAUUUUGUAUAAUCUAUUUACUGUUUAGUUUAGGCAUAUUAAUUUAUAGUGGAUUGGGAAACAAGUUAUUGCAACUUUUUUACUGUGUAUCCGUGUAAAUGUGUAGAUUAAUUCAAACAUUGUCUGUGUAAAUUUGUAGUUGUUGAAAAAGUACAACUAUGUCCAUAUACCGAAAUCCUAAGACAAAAUCGGGAAGAACCUGAUACAUGUUAUCAAUAAACAAAUAAAAAGCUUUAUUGCUUUACGAUAUAUGUUCCAGAGGAUAUGAAUAUUUGGACCGUACGCGUACGGUCCGACCAUAUGCAUACAAUCGGAUCAUAUGAGUAUACGCAUACGGUCUAAAACGAACUGGAUCAUAUAUUUAUUUCGAGCAUAUGGAUGUAUUAUCGAAAAACAUUUAUUAUGAUCUUUUAUUGAGUUGUACAAAUUAAUACUAUUACAUUUAGA